rnacentral:rRNA from 1 species
ACGGAGGGUGCAAGCGUUAAUCGGAAUUACUGGGCGUAAAGCGCACGCAGGCGGUUGGGUAAGUUAGAUGUGAAAGCCCCGGGCUCAACCUGGGAAUUGCAUUUAAAACUGUCCAGCUAGAGUCUUGGAGAGGGGGGUAGAAUUCCAGGUGUAGCGGUGAAAUGCGAAGGGAUCUGGAGCAAUACCGGUAGCGUAGGCGGCCCCCUGGACAAAAACUGACGCUCAGGUGCGAAAGCGUGGGGAGUAAACAG